UGAACGUUAGAACGGGAGCGGGUGAAUAUUACCAGCCGCUAACUAAGAAGGCGGACUUGGACGUGCUGGAGAAGUCUGGUAUGGCUGAAGGCACAACUUCAAGCAAUACGGGGCGGAGUAUGUUCGCAACGGUACAAGACCCCUCGUUAUCGGCUACCACUACCGAUUCAACCGAUCCAGAAAUCGUUCUGACAACCUCGGCGAGAAAUGUCAAAGGGAACUAAAAACAGAAUACCUAUUGUUAGAAAGCCACAACAAAUUUGGAUUCGUUGAGUUAAAAUUGAUUAUCCUAAAUUGUUAUCCUAAAAUUUAUUAUUCUAAAGUUGUUGUACUACAUCAAUUCUAAAAUUUGUUAGAACGUACACGACAACUAUACUUUGUUACAAGUAGACGGACAAUUAGCGUAGAAGACAACAAAUCUUAAAGCCUACUCAAACAAACAAACGGGUUUGCUCUUAAGAAUCUAAUACGUGACCGUCUUCGUAACAACCAUU